GACGAACGCUGGCGGCGUGCUUAACACAUGCAAGUCGAACGGAAAGGCCCUGCUUUUGUGGGGUGCUCGAGUGGCGAACGGGUGAGUAACACGUGAGUAACCUGCCCUUGACUUUGGGAUAACUUCAGGAAACUGGGGCUAAUACCGGAUAGGAGCUCCUGCUGCAUGGUGGGGGUUGGAAAGUUUCGGCGGUUGGGGAUGGACUCGCGGCUUAUCAGCUUGUUGGUGGGGUAGUGGCUUACCAAGGCUUUGACGGGUAGCCGGCCUGAGAGGGUGACCGGCCACAUUGGGACUGGGAUGCGGCCCAGACUCCUACGGGAGGCAGCAGUGGGGAAUAUUGCACAAUGGGCGGAAGCCUGAUGCAGCAACGCCGCGUGCUGGAUGACGGCCUUCGGGUUGUAAACCGCUUUCGCCUGUGACGAAGCGUGAGUGACGGUAAUGGGUAAAGAAGCACCGGCUAACUACGUG
rnacentral:rRNA from 1 species